rnacentral:rRNA from 1 species
UAUAGGGNACCUGCGGAAGGAUCAUUACAGAGUCCCUGCCCCUCUGGGGUAGACCUCCCACCCGUGUGUAUUCUAAUGAAUUGUUGCUUUGGCGGGCCGCGAGCGUGCCUCGCCCGGGAGCCUCUCCCGGUGUGCCCGCCAGAGGAAACCCAAACUCUGAAUAUUAGUGUCGUCUGAGUACUACAUAAAUCGUUAAAACUUUCAACAACGGAUCUCUUGGUUCUGGCAUCGAUGAAGAACGCAGCGAAAUGCGAUAAGUAAUGUGAAUUGCAGAAUUCAGUGAAUCAUCGAAUCUUUGAACGCACAUUGCGCCCCUUGGUAUUCCGGGGGGCAUGCUUGUUCGAGCGUCAUUAUGACCCCUCCAGCCUAGCUGGGUGUUGGGCCGCGCCUCCGGGCGGGUCUUAAAACUAGUGGCGGUGCUUUCAGGCUCUACGCGUAGUAACUUUUCUCGCUAUAGGGUCCUGGGAGAUGCUAGCCAGCAACCUCAAACUUUUUCAGGUUGACCUCGAAUCAAGUAGGGAUACCCGCUGAACUUAAGCAUAUCAAUAAGCGGAGGAAGAUCAUUA